GCUGGGUGUGGUGCUGGGCGCCUGUAAUCCCAGCUGCUCGGGAGGCUGAGACAGGAGAAUUGCUUGAACCUGGGAGGCGGAGGUUGCAGUGAGCCAAGAUCAUGCCACUGUAUUCCAGCCUGGGUGACAAAGCAAGAUUCUGUCUCAA
rnacentral:sRNA from 1 species